ACGAAGAUGGCGAAAUUGGUAGACGCACUAGCUUCAGGUGUUAGCGCCUGAAAAGGCGUGAGGGUUCAAGUCCCUCUCUUCGUACCA
rnacentral:tRNA from 1 species